AUUGAGGUCUAUGACUUGCAGACUUGAGGUAUGGUUGGCUCUCGAACAACGCUUUGUUGAUCAAUCUACUGUCCAUUAUUGAUCGAAUCAGGGCAGCUCAAAUUUGCCUUGCUUAAUCAUCGCAAAGGCAAACCGUGGUGGUUUAUCUCCGCGAGUUGAAGGAAAUUGUUGAUUCCUUGACUGUCGCCAAUUUCAAACAAAGAUUUGUCCCUAUCGGUCCCCUUGCAUGGGUUGCCUCUUGAAUAUGAGGCCUUUGUCACGACCAUUACCAAUAUGAAAGAACUUCCAUCCUUUGCGCAGUUGAGGGCUAAAUUGCUGCAUCAAGAGCAGCGAAAGACAUUCAGAAUGCUUCUAAUUCUGAUCAGGCCGUGGCUUCCUCUGCUGGCACAAUCGUAA
rnacentral:lncRNA from 1 species